UACGUAGGGUGCAAGCGUUAAUCGGAAUUACUGGGCGUAAAGCGUGCGUAGACGGUUUUGUAAGUCGGAUGUGAAAUCCCCGGGCUCAACCUGGGAAUUGCAUUCGAGACUGCAAGGCUUGGGUGCGGAAGAGGGAAGCGGAAUUUCCGGUGUAGCGGUGAAAUGCGUAGAUAUCGGAAGGAACAUCAGUGGCGAAAGCGGCUUCCUGGUCCAGCACCGACGUUCAGGCACGAAAGCGUGGGGAGCAAAACGG
rnacentral:rRNA from 1 species